AAUAGAUACCCCGGUAGUCCAUGCCGUAAACGGUGGGCGCUAGGUGUGGGGGUCUUCCACGACUUCUGUGCCGUAGCUAACGCAUUAAGCGCCCCGCCUGGGGAGUACGGCCGCAAGGCUAAAACUCAAAGGAAUUGACGGGGGCCCGCACAAGCGGCGGAGCAUGUGGAUUAAUUCGAUGCAACGCGAAGAACCUUACCUGGGCUUGACAUACGCCGGAUCGCCGCAGAGAUGUGGUUUCCCUUGUGGCCGGUGUACAGGUGGUGCAUGGUUGUCGUCAGCUCGUGUCGUGAGAUGUUGGGUUAAGUCCCGCAACGAGCGCAACCCUUGUCUUGUGUUGCCAGCACGUUAUGGUGGGGACUCGCGAGAGACUGCCGGGGUUAACUCGGAGGAAGGUGGGGAUGACGUCAAAUCAUCAUGCCCCUUAUGUCCAGGGCUUCACACAUGCUACAAUGGUCGGUACAGUGGGUUGCGAUGCCGUGAGGUGGAGCUAAUCCCUUAAAGCCGGUCUCAGUUCGGAUUGGAGUCUGC
rnacentral:rRNA from 1 species